GACGUAGGGCGCGAGCGUUGUCCGGAUUUAUUGGGCGUAAAGAGCUCGUAGGCGGCUUGUCGCGUCGAAUGUGAAAUCUCAGGGCUCAACUCUGACAUUGCAUUCGAUACGGGCAGGCUAGAGUUCGGUAGGGGAGACUGGAAUUCCUGGUGUAGCGGUGAAAUGCGCAGAUAUCAGGAGGAACACCAAUGGCGAAAGCAGCUUUCUGGGACGGUACUGACGCUGAGACGCGAAAGCGUGGGGAGCGAACAGG
rnacentral:rRNA from 1 species